CCUACGGGAGACAGCAGUGAGGAAUAUUGGUCAAUGGUCGCGAGCCUGAACCAGCCAAGUAGCGUGAAGGAUGACUGCCCUACGGGUUGUAAACCUCUUUUAUAAAGGAAUAAAGUGAGGCACGUGUGCCCUUUUGUAUGUACUUUAUGAAUAAGGAUCGGCUAACUCCGUGCCAGCAGCCGCGGUAAUACGGAGGAUCCGAGCGUUAUCCGGAUUUAUUGGGUUUAAAGGGAGCGUAGAUGGGUUGUUAAGUCAGUUGUGAAAGUUUGCGGCUCAACCGUAGCAUUGCAAUUGAUACUGGCAGCCUUGAGUACAGUUGAGGUAGGCGGAAUUCGUGGUGUAGCGGUGAAAUGCUUAGAUAUCGCGAAGAACUCCGAUUGCGAAGGCAGCUUACUAAACUGCCACUGACAUUGAUGCUCGAAAGUGUGGGUAUCAAACAGGAUUAGAUACCCUAGUAGUC
rnacentral:rRNA from 1 species